rnacentral:rRNA from 1 species
GAGUUUGAUCGUGGCUCAGGACGAACGCUGGCGGCGUGCCUAACACAUGCAAGUCGAACGGAACCAUUGAUAAGCUUGCUUAGAGGUGGUUUAGUGGCGGACGGGUGAGUAACGCGUGAGGAACCUGCCUUUCAGAGGGGGAUAACGUCUGGAAACGGACGCUAAUACCGCAUGACAUAUCGAGAUCACAUGGUUUUGAUAUCAAAGGAGCAAUCCGCUGAAAGAUGGACUCGCGUCCGAUUAGCCAGUUGCGGGUAACGGCCACCAAAGCGACGAUCGGUAGCCGGACUGAGAGGUUGAACGGCCACAUUGGGACUGAGACACGGCCCAGACUCCUACGGGAGGCAGCAGUGGGGGAUACUGCACAAUGGAGGAAACUCUGAUGCAGCAACGCCGCGUGAGGGAAGAAGGUUUUCGGAUUGUAAACCUCUGUCCUCGGUGACGAAACAAAUGACGGUAGCCGAGGAGGAAGCUCCGGCUAACUACGUGCCAGCAGCCGCAGUAAU